ACAUAAUCGCAAGGGAUAGUAGCGGCAUCCUUUUUUGUUGGUUACUUCGAGCGGAGUCGAGAAGAUUUUUUACCAACAAAAAAGAUAUAGCGAAUAGCCCGACCCAAU
rfam:Mesonia phycicola strain DSM 21425 genome assembly, contig: Ga0070602_108